rnacentral:lncRNA from 1 species
GAAGUAUCUGAUCUGAAAAAAAAUUUCUCGAUAAAGGUUAUAAUGCUCACUUCAUCGUAGAACACAGGAUCUACUAGCUUUUUCCCUGUUAGUGUCUCUGCCAGCAAUACUCCAAAACUAUAUACAUCUCCUCAGAGCUUUACAUUCUGACAUAAAACUCCCAUCGGUGCCUUAUAUGUUCGUGUCAAAAACCUUCACAGCUAAUCACCCGGUUUACCUGGAUUAGCUUUUCUCCGUAAACUGAACCAUAGCUUCUUUUCCUAAUCAAAGACUCCGUGAAUUUCUCAGUAACCUGAACUCAGUCCUUGUAGAAAACUUUCCCGAAGCUCUUACUAGAAGAAACUAACGGUGAUUGUAUUAUGAAGAACUUUCUACCCUCCGCCGCAAAAGCCUUGAUUUCCAUUGAGUGCAACAGCUGUAACCUUUUUGAACCACUCGGCACUUUUCCCCAUAAGAUGAUUGCGAGACGAAUUUAGCGGACUGAGGGCUUGUAGAUCACAUAGAGCAGCUGGGAUAGUAUCUAUCCAAUUGUUGUGUGAAGGGUUAAGAAUAGUGUCUUCCCAAAAGUUGGUGGUUUUGAUACUGCUUCAAUUCCCAACAACCACGUGAAUUCCCUAUAUUCUGAAUAUUCAUGCUUAGCAGUCUAGCCUGCUCAACUCUUGAAUUCAUAAGACUAGUAAUAGCAUCAACCGAGGUAAGAAUUUAUGGUGGCUCUACAUCACAAGUUCUGACCCGGAUUAAAUGUAUCCACUUGGGUCCGAUAUUUUGGGGUCACAAAAAUCCAUCAAAUCGAAACUUAUUAAACUUCCUCUGGUUCUUUAAUACCAUUAUUCCCUGCAUCACGCAAACCUUGGUAUAUGUUUCUCUUAAACAACCCCCUCAACAUUGUCCUUAGCUAAACAGUUGAUCAGGCUCUAUAUGACUCUUUCUAAAUUUUCUUCCAUUCCCACACCGAGACUAUCCAGAUUCUCAUAAACAUGCAGAUCUACUUUUUAAGAUGCCAGUUCAAUUAUACCCAUAUUGUUACCCACAAUAUCCUUCUUUCCUUUCACUGCUACCGGGCGAAUAUAUGUUGUUUUCCUGCAGGCAGGGUAGUUACUUAAUUUUUGUGCCAGCAAUUUGAGCCUGUAUCUCCUGUAUUGUGAAUCGGAGAGAAAAAGAUUUCAUCUUGUUGCUUUGAUUUCUUGACUUCCAAUCGAUUCACCUUAGCUUUCAUAGUUUUCCAAUAUAUCCCCGGGGUAUUAGGAUCAAUAGAUUCCUGGGCCUUCAUCAAUUGGCCUCAUAUUCAUCCAAUUUUCUUUAACCACUUUUCUCAUAUCUUUUCCCAUAUUACGACCCGUGCAAGAACUGCCUUCUUACUUAUAUCGAAAUUAUAUGGAGUAUCUUUUUCCCUCAUCUUUGAACCUUCAUUCCUUUCUCUCUAAUAAUAUUAUUGGAACGGGCAUGUUGAUGAAGAGUAUAUAUCGAAGUCUUUUAAUCUCAUAAAGUGAUUGUAACAACGUCGUGCUCUAUUUGAGAAAACUCCUUCAAAUCUUUAUACGAUGCUUCCAGUACUAUGGUCCUGAUUUCUGAUCCCAUAACUCUUGUCAGACUGGAUCCAAUUUAUUCCUUAUUCUUCUCACACCAGACAGUCUAAGUUGUCCUAAUUGCUUAUCCAAAUAAGAUUUGGUGUCCAUCCGUCUGUCUUGAUCUUCUCUUCUGCAGUUCUCUGUUGCAUCGAUCCCCUUACUACGUCUAGCUUCUAUUACACGGAACGGGUUUAGGUCUAACGGCACUCUCCAAACCCAAAAUUUUUGAAACAUGCAAUGCAAGCAUGAUGCAACGAUUCCUACGUACUUUCAAACUCAUAUACACACUCGUAGAAAAAUUGGUGGCAUCGUAAUCUCUCCCUAAAUAAUAGACUACCGAAUACUAGCGACACGCAACAAACAAUUAGCAUCUGCAAAAUAAACAACCAGUUAACACUACUGCCACCUGUGACUCUUAUUUUUAUUAUUUUAAAAUAGAGUCCCAAUUUUUAAAUAGUAAUAUCUGUU